UCUGCCGCCGGCGAGCUCAGCUUCACCACCGACUCUACAAGUUUCCUCACCCGCUUUAAGCACUUUGCGGCCACUACCGCCCUGACAUGCCCCCGACCCCUACAUUGCCGUGGAAGCGAGCCUGCUGCUCCUCUCCCUCCCCAAGAACAUCUAAGCUACCGAUGCAACGCCGACGCCCUAAUUUGCCUCCCCUCCAUCACAGAGGUGCAUCUGGUGGAGUGGCUCCAGAUGAUGGUGGGCAUGAGAAAAGUUGAGGAGCGUUGAAGGACUGUUUGGAGGCUCACUCACAUGGUGUUACCAUGCUAAUCAAAGUGUUUUGAUCAAUAGAACACAUGCUAUUCCA